rnacentral:rRNA from 1 species
GAUGAACGCUGGCGGCGUGCCUAAUACAUGCAAGUCGAGCGAACGGACGAGAAGCUUGCUUCUCUGAUGUUAGCGGCGGACGGGUGAGUAACACGUGGAUAACCUACCUAUAAGACUGGGAUAACUUCGGGAAACCGGAGCUAAUACCGGAUAAUAUUUUGAACCGCAUGGUUCAAAAGUGGAAGACGGUCUUGCUGUCACUUAUAGAUGGAUCCGCGCUGCAUUAGCUAGUUGGUAAGGUAACGGCUUACCAAGGCAACGAUGCAUAGCCGACCUGAGAGGGUGAUCGGCCACACUGGAACUGAGACACGGUCCAGACUCCUACGGGAGGCAGCAGUAGGGAAUCUUCCGCAAUGGGCGAAAGCCUGACGGAGCAACGCCGCGUGAGUGAUGAAGGUCUUCGGAUCGUAAAACUCUGUUAUUAGGGAAGAACAUAUGUGUAAGUAACUGUGCACAUCUUGACGGUACCUAAUCAGAAAGCCACGGCUAACCACGUG